GAUGAACGCUGGCGGCGUUCCUAAUACAUGCAAGUCGAGCGAACCUAUAAGUAGCUUGCUCCUUUGACGUUAGCGGCGGACGGUUUAGUAACACGUGGGUAACCUACCUAUAAGACUGGGAUAACUUCGGGAAACCGGAGCUAAUACCGGAUAACAUUUGGAACCGCAUGGUUCUAAAGUUAAAGAUGGUUUUGCUAUCACUUAUAGAUUGACCCGCGCCGUAUUAGCUAGUUGGUAAGGUAACGGCGUACCAAGGCAACGAUACGUAGCCGACCUGAGAGGGUGAGCGGCGACACGGGAACUGAGACACGGUCAAGACUAGGACGGGAGGGAGCAGUAGGGAAUCUGCCGCAAUGGGCGAAAGCGUGAAGGAGCAACGCCGCGGGAGUGAUGAAGGGUUGAGGAUAGUAAAACUCUGUUAUUAGGGAAGAACAAAAGUGGAAGGAACUGUGCACGUCUAGAAGGUACCUAAUCAGAAAGCCAAGGAGAACUACGUG
rnacentral:rRNA from 1 species